rnacentral:rRNA from 1 species
AUUGAACGCUGGCGGCGUGCCUAACACAUGCAAGUCGCGCGCGAAUAGGGGGCAACCCCUUAGUAGAGCGGCGAACGGGUGAGUAACACGUGGGUAAUCUACCUUCGAGUGGGGAACAACAUCGGGAAACUGGUGCUAAUUCCGCAUGACAUCGUCGGGGCUUCGGUCCUGACGAUCAAAGCCGGGGAUCGCAAGACCUGGCGCUUGAAGAUGAGCCCGCGUCCGAUUAGCGAGUUGGCGGGGUAAUGGCCCACCAAGGCUUCGAUCGGUAGCCGGCCUGAGAGGGCGGACGGCCACACUGGAACUGAGACACGGUCCAGACUCCUACGGGAGGCAGCAGUGGGGAAUUUUCGCAAUGGGGGCAACCCUGACGAAGCAACGCCGCGUGGGGAUGAAGGUCUUCGGAUUGUAAACCCCUGUCG